CCUACGGGAGGCAGCAGUGGGGAAUAUUGCACAAUGGGGGAAACCCUGAUGCAGCGACGCCGCGUGAGCGAUGAAGUAUUUCGGUAUGUAAAGCUCUAUCAGCAGGGAAGACAAUGACGGUACCUGACUAAGAAGCCCCGGCUAACUACGUGCCAGCAGCCGCGGUAAUACGUAGGGGGCAAGCGUUAUCCGGAUUUACUGGGUGUAAAGGGAGCGUAGACGGUACUGCAAGCCAGAUGUGAAAGCCCGGGGCUCAACCCCGGGACUGCAUUUGGAACUGUAAGGCUAGAGUGUAGGAGAGGCAGGCGGAAUUCCUAGUGUAGCGGUGAAAUGCGUAGAUAUUAGGAGGAACACCAGUGGCGAAGGCGGCCUGCUGGACGAUGACUGACGUUGAGGCUCGAAAGCGUGGGGAGCAAACAGGAUUAGAUACCCUUGUAGUC
rnacentral:rRNA from 1 species